rnacentral:rRNA from 1 species
CCUACGGGAGGCAGCAGUGGGGAAUAUUGCACAAUGGGGGAAACCCUGAUGCAGCGACGCCGCGUGAGUGAAGAAGUAUUUCGGUACGUAAAGCUCUAUCAGCAGGGAAGAAAAUGACGGUACCUGACUAAGAAGCCCCGGCUAACUACGUGCCAGCAGCCGCGGUAAUACGUAGGGGGCAAGCGUUAUCCGGAUUCACUGGGUAUAAAGGGAGCGUAGACGGCAGCGCAAGUCUGGAGUGAAAUCCCAUGGCUUAACCAUGGAACUGCUUUGGAAACUGUGCAGCUAGAGUGCAGGAGAGGUAAGCGGAAUUCCUAGUGUAGCGGUGAAAUGCGUAGAUAUUAGGAGGAACACCAGUGGCGAAGGCGGCUUACUGGACUGUAACUGACGUUGAGGCUCGAAAGCGUGGGGAGCAAACAGGAUUAGAUACCCUUGUAGUC